GAUGAAGAACGCAGCGAAAUGCGAUAAGUAAUGUGAAUUGCAGAAUUCAGUGAAUCAUCGAGUCUUUGAACGCACAUUGCGCCCCCUGGUAUUCCGGGGGGCAUGCCUGUCCGAGCGUCAUUGCUGCCCUCAAGCACGGCUUGUGUGUUGGGCCCCGUCCCCUCCCCCGGGGACGGGCCCGAAAGGCAGCGGCGGCACCGCGUCCGAUCCUCGAGCGUAUGGGGCUUUGUCACCCGCUCUGUAGGCCCGGCCGGCGCCAGCCGACACCCAACUUUUAUUUCUAAGGUUGACCUCGGAUCAGGUAGGGAUACCCGCUGAACUUAAGCAUAUCAAUAAGCGGAGUA
rnacentral:misc_RNA from 1 species